rnacentral:rRNA from 2 species
GGGGGAUAACACCUGGAAACAGAUGCUAAUACCGCAUAACAACUUGGACCGCAUGGUCCGAGUUUGAAAGAUGGCUUCGGCUAUCACUUUUGGAUGGUCCCGCGGCGUAUUAGCUAGAUGGUGGGGUAACGGCUCACCAUGGCAAUGAUACGUAGCCGACCUGAGAGGGUAAUCGGCCACAUUGGGACUGAGACACGGCCCAAACUCCUACGGGAGGCAGCAGUAGGGAAUCUUCCACAAUGGACGAAAGUCUGAUGGAGCAACGCCGCGUGAGUGAAGAAGGGUUUCGGCUCGUAAAACUCUGUUGUUAAAGAAGAACAUAUCUGAGAGUAACUGUUCAGGUAUUGACGGUAUUUAACCAGAAAGCCACGGCUAACUACGUGCCAGCAGCCGCGGUAAUACGUAGGUGGCAAGCGUUGUCCGGAUUUAUUGGGCGUAAAGCGAGCGCAGGCGGUUUUUUAAGUCUGAUGUGAAAGCCUUCGGCUCAACCGAAGAAGUGCAUCGGAAACUGGGAAACUUGAGUGCAGAAGAGGACAGUGGAACUCCAUGUGUAGCGGUGAAAUGCGUAGAUAUAUGGAAGAA